rnacentral:rRNA from 1 species
GACGAACGCUGGCGGCGUGCCUAAUACAUGCAAGUCGAACGCUUUUUCUUUCACCGGAGCUUGCUCCACCGAAAGAAAAAGAGUGGCGAACGGGUGAGUAACACGUGGGUAACCUGCCCAUCAGAAGGGGAUAACACUUGGAAACAGGUGCUAAUACCGUAUAACACUAUUUUCCGCAUGGAAGAAAGUUGAAAGGCGCUUUUGAGUCACUGCUGGAUGGACCCGCGGUGCAUUAGCUAGUUGGUGAGGUAACGGCUCACCAAGGCAACGAUGCAUAGCCGACCUGAGAGGGUGAUCGGCCACACUGGGACUGAGACACGGCCCAGACUCCUACGGGGGGCAGCAGUAGGGAAUCUUCGGCAAUGGACGAAAGUCUGACCGAGCAACGCCGCGUGAGUGAAGAAGGUUUUCGGAUCGUAAAACUCUGUUGUUAGAGAAGAACAAGGAUGAGAGUAGAACGUUCAUCCCUUGACGGUAUCUAACCAGAAAGCCACGGCUAACUACGUGCCAGCCGCCGCAGUAA